AUAUCAGUCAUGCAUAGCAUAUCAAUAAGCGGAGGAAAAGAAACUAACAAGGAUUCCCCUAGUAACGGCGAGUGAAGCGGGAAGAGCUCAAAUUUGAAAUCUUAAAGGGUUUCCCUUUACGAAUUGUAGUUUAAAGAAGUGUUUUCUGUUAGAGUUUCGGUAAAAGUUCUUUGGAAUAGGACAUCAUAGAGGGUGAGAAUCCCGUAUUUGACCGUUAUUUCUAGCUUUGUGAUACACUUCCAAAGAGUCGGAUUGUUUGGGAAUGCAGUCCAAAAUGGGUGGUAAAUUUCAUCUAAAGCUAAAUAUUGGCGAGAGACCGAUAGCGAACAAGUACCGUGAGGGAAAGAUGAAAAGAACCUUGAAAAGAGAGUUAAACAGUACGUGAAAUUGUCAAAAGGGAAGCGUUUGACACCAGUGUUGUUUAAUUGAAAAUCAAUUAGCUAAUUUUUGAUUUUAAAUAGUAUUGACUUUAUCAGCUUGCUAUUUUCUUUUCGGAAAUUAUUUAAUGCACUUUUCAGUUAACAAGUCAACAUCAAUUUCUUUUGUUGUAAAAAGGUAAGAGGAAGGUGGCUUAUGCUUCGGUAUAAGUGUUUAUAGCCUUUUACCUCUGCAAUCGGAGAGAUUGAGGUCUGCAGGCGUAGAUCCUUCGGGGUUAGAUACAUUUGUGCUAAGUUAUAGUAUUUUAUAGACAACUUGUUGACUAUGAUUUAUCAUGUAGCUUACUCGCUUAUGCUAUUUUACCUACGCUUAGGAUGUUGAGUAGCGACAUACGCAC
rnacentral:rRNA from 1 species